GUCCUCAGACCACUAUAAUACACUAGUAGUAGUAUCUCAGAUCAGGGUAAUGUGUCCUCAGACCACUAUAAUACACUAGUAGUAGUAUCUCAGAUCAGGGUAAUGUGUCCUCAGACCACUAUAAUACACUAGUAGUAGUAUCUCAGAUCAGGGUAAUGUGUCCUCAGACCACUAUAAUACACUAGUAGUAGUAUCUCAGAUCAGGGUAAUGUGUCCUCAGACUACUAUAAUACACUAGUAGUAGUAUCUCAGAUCAGGGUAAUGUGUCCUCAGACUACUAUAAUACACUAGUAGUAGUAUCUCAG